AGUCUGGUGCCAGCAGCCGCGGUAAUUCCAGCUCCAAGAGUGUAUAUUAAAGUUGUUGCGGUUAAAAAGCUCGUAGUUGAAUUUCUGAAAAUAAUAUUGUGAUUGAUUUAACCGUCAUGAUCAAAAAUUAUUAUCAUACUUGAUAGGUGGAAACAUUUAUCUUAAUUACUUUGAAAAAAUUAGAGUGUUCAAAGCAAGAUUCACAUCUGAAUAAUACAGCAUGGGAUAAUAUAAUAUGACAUUAGUUAAAAUUUGUUGGUUUCUUUGGCUAAUGUAAUGAUUAAAAGGGACAGUUGGGGUAAUUUAUAUUGGUUGGGGAGGGGUGAAAUCCUAUGAUCCUUCCAAGAUAAACUAGUGCGAAAGCAUUUUACCAGGAUGUUUUCAUUAAUCAAGAACGAAAGUUGGGGGAUCGAAGAUGAUCAGAUACCGUCGUAGUCUCAACCAUAAACUAUGUCGACUAAGGAUGAUAAAAUAUUAAAUGAAUGAUUUUUGUCGCACUUUACAAGAAAUUAUAAGUAUUCAGACUCCGGGGGGAGUAUGGUCGCAAGGCUGAAACUUAAAGGAAUUGACGGAAGGGCACCACCAGGAGUGGAACCUGCGGCUUAAUUUGACCCAACACGGGGAAACUUACUAGGUCAGGACACAGUAAGGAUUGACAGAUUGAAAGCUCUUUCUUGAUUUUGUGGAUGGUGGUGCAUGGCCGUUUUUAGUUGGUGGAUUGAUUUGUCUGGUUAAUUCCGAAAACGAACGAGACCUUAACCUGUUAACUAUGUGAUAUUAAAAUUCGAUCUCGGUCUAAAUCUUUGAUAUUAAAAAUUUAAUACUUCUUAAAGGAACAAUUCAAACUUUAAUUGAAAGGAAGUUUAAGGCAAAAACAGGUCUGUGAUGCCCUUCGAUGUUCUGGGCUGCACGCGCGUUACACUGAUAUGUUCAAUAAGUUUUUAAAUUUCCUGGUCUGAAAAGAUUUGGUAAACUUUGAAAAGCAUAUCGUGAUUGGGAUAGUAUUUUGUAAUUAUCGCACUUGAACGAGGAAUUCCUAGUAGGGGCAAUUCAUCAAAUUGCCCCGAUUACGUCCCCGCCCUUUGUACACACCGCCCGUCGCUUCUACCGAUUGAAUAAUGCGAUGAGGAUUCAGGAUCGAAUAGAAUUAAUUGUUUGAAAGGAUAAUUAAGACUAUUUGCUAAUUUAUUCAAAUCUUAUUAUUUAGAGGAAGGAGAAGUCGUAACAAGGUUUCCGUUGGUGUCCAGCGGAAG
rnacentral:rRNA from 1 species